UUAUUACUAUCUUACCCUUUAAUUUUAUCAAAAUUCCUACAUUACCCUUAUUCCUCCUACCCAACCCUAACCCUAAAUUGCUAAACAACUUCCACUCUUCCUCAUCAACCACAGCCCCCUUCUUUUCAAAACUCACACCAUACACAAAUACACCCACGUAGAAAAAAAAAAGAGAGAGAACGGUAGAAGGGCUGCUGCCUCCAUGCCUCACCGCCGAAGUUCUGCUGCUGCCAAGUCGCCAUUGACAUCAACCCUAGAAAAAGAGGGAGUCUGCGAGUUGAAGGAAGUUGGAGGAGUGUCGCUGCCAUUAGCAUUUUGCGGUGCCGCCAUCAUGGUCGCCGAGAAGGAGGAGGACCCGCGAGGAAGAGGGACGCGGUCAGUCUCAUCGUCAUCAGAUCCGUCUUUGCCGAUGGAGACCCCAUCGCCAAGCUACUGCACCGCCGCUGCCACUGUGGGUUUCCGGGAAGAGGAGCUCUAGCGGGAGAGAGAGAACGAGAGAGUUCGCAGAAAGAGAAACAUCACCAUACACGAACAGAGGGGGGAGGAGGAACUCACCGGAGGAAAAGGAGACUCGUCGCCAGGAAUGGCGGUACCGUCGCCGGAAAAUACGCCGGAGCUUCCAAACUCACCGGCAACACUACCUUGCCACUGUUCUGGUCUAGCUUCUUCCCUUAGUCUGUCCUGUUUUCACCUUAUCUCUGCCACUGAUUCAUUUUUCUACCUUGUCCUUGUUUUGAUUUAUUUUUGUCUUUAUUCUGUUUUGGAUCUUCCAGAAUUUUAUCUGCCUUUGUCUCUGUAUUCGAUUUGAAAUGACUGCCUGGUGUUGUGGUCAUUGUCGCUGUCGUGAGACACACUCUGGGUUUAGUCUCUUCGGUCCGUUAGGACCAUGCUGAACAACUACUUGACUAUGUGAAACUUUUUAUUCAAGAGUAACAAUCUGCAGCGAGUACGUAUUCUUUGUCGAGUUCCUAGAUGUAUAUGCUCCAUAUGUCACAGGCAGGAUCCAACCAUUUGUAAUUAUUUUAUUUUUGUUAAAAAUAUAUAUAACUAUUUAUUUUAGAAUUUGUAAAAUAUUUAUAACUUUCUUAUUCAACUUAUAAUUGCGUCGGUUUAGGCUUGCUAAGGGACUAUUUUCCUGAGCGCCGGUCAUGACUCAUUUUGGGUCGUGACAGGGUACAUCAAGCAUGUCAUGAAUUCCACCAUGGCUCUAUCAAUUCAGAACUCUUUGGCGCCGUUCAGAUCCCUGGGAGCUCCAAGAUGGGGCGGUGGAUUGUUAGUCACCCUUAGGAUUUAGAUAAAGCUGUAGACAAUUGGAACGAGGAAAAUAGGCUCUUUUUAGAAAGCUGUUAAGGCCAUUUAGGUAAAGAUAGGAUAGUUAGUAGGAGUAGUUGUUAGGUUAGUUACUAUAAAGGAAUUGAGAAUGUAAUUGAUGGGAAUAAGGGUAGUGGCCUAAACAGUUAGUAUUAGAAGGCUUGCUGAACUCAUUGUAAAGCAAAUUUUGAUGUUGAAUAAAAAAACUGGAGAGUACCGCCUCUCUUUCCUCUUGUGGAGUUCUUAACCUUGGUCUAAACAAAGUGUUACAUUGGUGUUUUUGCCAUUAACUUAUGGAGAGAUUGGUAUUGAACAUGGGGGUGGGGAUGAGAUUGAUAGUAAAACUUGUCAUGUUUCAUUUGAUGUUGACGGUAAUGUUGCAGUCUCAAAAAAUUUGGAAGCAUGUGAUAAUUUUAAAUUUGCAAGAACAUUGUUAAGGGAUGCCCUUCCAUUAUUACAACCUCAAAGGAAAUAGUCCUUGUGUAUGACUUUUACUAUCAAAGCUGGAGAGCUUAAGAGUUUUUUUCAUUUGAAUGGUUUCCUCUUGAAUCAUUGGCCAAUUCAACAGACAAACUGAUAAAUUUGUGUUAUUUGGAUCUUUCUGAAUCCUCCAUAAAGAUAUAACCUGAGUCAUCUACAAAUAUUGAAGUUGAAUUGUUUGACUUUCUGGUGCCUGGUCCACAGAUCUUCUUUGCAUAUGUUUACCACCUAAGGCAAGUUUGUAUAAUCUUUUCUACAUCACAUGCAAUUGCACACUCAUUCUUAAUUUUAUCUCUUCUAGAAUGUCAGAAAGUCCUAGUAUAUCCUAGUGAAUCAGUGCAGUUAUUGUUAACUUCUAUCAAAUUGAAGCAUUGAAGGUAGAAGCUGUUUCUUCCAACUACCAUCUUUGACCUUCCAUUAGGCAUCAAAGCAGAGGAUGUGAUGUUGUUUGAGACACCUCCAGAGCUGAGACGAGAAUGGAGGCUGCACUGAAAUUUCUUCAUGGAGCCUCUCUGUUAGAAUCUACCAACAAUGAUAGUAACGAGAAUGAGAUGAUUCAGUCUAUCCAAAUUUAUAGUAGCACAACAAAAUUGUGCGAGUUUUGUGCCCACGAAUAUGAAAUUAAAAGACAUGGCUGGAGCUGCUCUGGCUUACAAAUGCAUGGAGGUGGCAUAUAUGAGGGUAGAAUAUAGCUUAAUCAUAAAAUCACAAUAGAGUAUUCUUUUAUUUUAUUUUUAUUUAUUUUAUUUUUUAUUUUGGGUUGAAAAAUUGUUACGC